rnacentral:rRNA from 1 species
UACGGGGGGGGCAAGCGUUGUUCGGAAUUACUGGGCGUAAAGGGCUCGUAGGCGGCCAACUAAGUCAGACGUGAAAUCCCUCGGCUUAACCGGGGAACUGCAUCUGAUACUGGAUGGCUUGAGAUUGGGAGAGGGAUGCGGAAUUCCAGGUGUAGCGGUGAAAUGCGUAGAUAUCUGGAGGAACACCGGUGGCGAAGGCGGCAUCCUAGACCAACACUGACGCUGAGGAGCGAAAGCCAGGGGAGCAAACGGG